UUUGAUCUUAAUUUAAAGUAGGGCCUGCCCACUGAUAUUUGUUGAAGGGCCGCAGUAUUUUGACUGUGCAAAGGUAGCAUAAUCAUUAGUUUUUUAAUUGAAAGCUUGUAUGAAUGGUUUGAUGAAAAAAUAACUUUCUUUAUUUUAAUUUUAAAAAAUUUUAUUUUUAAGUUAAAAAGCUUAAAUAAUUGUAAUAGACGAGAAGACCCUAUAGAGUUUAAUUUUUAUUGAUUAAUAAUUUUUUAGUAUUUAAAAAUUUAUUUUUCAUAAAUUUGAUUGGGGUGAUUAUAAAAUUUAAUUAACUUUUAUUAUUUAUAAAACAUAAAUUUAUGAGUUAUUGAUCCAUUAAUAUGAUUAAAAGAAUAAAUUACCUUAGGGAUAACAGCGUUAUUUUUUUUUAGAGUUCAAAUCGAAAAAAAAGAUUGCGACCUCGAUGUUGGAUUAAAGUAAAUUCUGGGUGUAGUGGUUCAGAAAUUUGGUCUGUUCGACCAUUAAAACUUUACA
rnacentral:rRNA from 1 species